CAAGUACAUUAAAACUUGUCUUUCACUCUCCUUCUCUCCCACUUCUCUGUCUCUCUCAUAAAGAGAACUCUUCAACUCCAAAGAUCCAUUUUUGUUUUCUCUUCUGCCACAACCUCAAAGCUAUUCAUUUUUCAUCUUGAGGCAAGUUAUGUUGGUUCUCUCAUUGUUAGGUGCAUAUUGUCAUAACUUUAUUGUGCAUAAAGUUGAUUUUUUUUUAUAAUUCUAAAAGCUUAAACAAUUAAUAUAUUUAGUUAUAGAAAAUGUAUAUUUUUUUGGCUCCUAAAUAAUUGAUUUUGGGUUAUUUAAUUUCUUGAUUCAAGUAUAUUUGAACCAUUGUGGUUAUUUUAAAAUUGGGUUGUUACAUUUGGUAUUGUAACUUAUCUGAAAAUUAAUUUCAAUGGAAAAUGCAAAUUUUUAUUUAAAUUCAUAGUGUUUGAUUUUUUUAGAAAGAUUUGUAGUCGAUUAAUAGUCAUUUUAAGUGGCUUUAGCAUAUCUUAAUAUUUAUUUUAAUUAAUUUUGGUUGCCUUGUAUAGAUUUUUUGAAAUAGUAGCCUUAUUGAUUUCUUUAUUGUUAGGAAGGCUUAUAGUUGAUUAAUUGAGCCUACGAUAGACUAAUGUCAUUUUGAUAAUCUGUUGUAUUUUUUUAAUGUAGAUCAUAAACAUAGCUAGAAGUAGUAAAGGAAAUUUAAGAAAUGGUAAGAAAAGAAGUGUUGAAGAACUUAGAAGAGAGACUAAAAGGAAAAAAGUUUUAGAAGCUGAAAAUGGGUCACUCUCCGAAUCUAUGCAAAAUGAUAUCGACUAAUAUGAUGAUGAUUAGCCUAGUGGUGAAGUUGAUAAGGUCAUUAGUAAAUGUGGUAGUGGUGGUGUAGAUAGUGGUAAUUUCAGUGGAGAUAGGAUAGUGAGAAGGCCAAUGAUGAUGAUGAUGAUGAUAGUAAUCGUCAUGAAGAUGAUGGUAAUGAGGAUGAAGAUCCUCUGUCCAUCCCAGAGUGUUCAAGGUUUUUUGAUGUAAACAAGUAUGAUUGAGGUAUCUGGAUAGAUGAUGUAGGAUAAUUUUUGGUGAAAAUAUUAGUUAGGUCUAGAAUGACAAUGUUUUCUUAAUUUUUAAAAGUUCUAGAAUAUCAAAAAAUUAAAUGUAGGUUCAAGCACUCUUGCUUUAUUUAGUUUAGAAAUCCACUACGAUAUAUGAAAUUCAAUGGACAGAUGGUCUAUUGUAUGUGUGUUCCUCGUAUCCACAUGAUUCAAAAUAGAUAAAGAAAUAUAAGGACGAUGAAAACUUUUAUAAAAAAGUUAGUCAAAACAAGAAGGUGACUGGAACAACCCUUUUGUCCCUGAUCAAAAGCAGUAGGCUAAACAAUUCAGAGAAUCUUAAAUGUUGUUGCGUGUUAUUCUUGCAUGUUAUGUUACUUGGAAGAGAUGUUUCUAAGGUGGUGGACUCAAAUUUUGUAAAAAUGAUGGAUGAUCUGGAGUUUUUUUGAGUCAUAUCCUUAGGUAAAGGAGUCCAUUGCACUCACAUUAGAGUAAUUAAAGGACAAAAUCAACAUGACCAAUUUAAAAGGUAUACAUCUUGAGGAGACAAUAUCAUAAUCUCUUUUUGUAUUUUCGUGGAACCUUAUGGUAUAUUAUCAAUUGGUCAUUCAGGCAAUUAUAGACAUUAAUUUACAAUUAUUAUUGAUUAUUUAAUUAUUUUGUGAUUGUAUUUUUGUAUAAAUGAAGUCAUUUUAAAUGUUGGGUUCCCUUACCCAUCUCUCGAAUGUUGAGAUGGCGUUACAAAAAUAUAGGUAGAUUUUUGAAGGUAUCCAUUUAGGACUCAAGCGAGAUCUUUAAAGGUAACAAUUUUUUUUGUUAAUUCUACUUCUAAACUUAAAAUUGUAGGUAAUAGUUGAUAUUUUUCUAUUUGUAGACUGUGCAUCUUUAUCUUACCCCCUACUAUACAUGACAUGAAGGAAACUUACAAGAAAAUACCCUUGCCAUAUGAGGUUGAGGUAAGGAGUAGGUUCAUUGAUGACAUAAAGCAUGAACUGAGAUAUAUCACAGUCUUUGAGUCAUCACCAGUGAAUUUGAUGAGGGAGCCACAUUAUAAUGCGGAUGUUAAUAUUGGGGAAAUAAGAAAUAUCAAUGGUUAUGAGGGGCCAAGUAAUAAGGUAUCAUAGUAAUCACCUAAAUUGAGAGUUAGGGAUGAGAAAAUAUUUUAGUGUCUCUCAUUGAUCGAUCGUGAUUUGGAGAUUAUAGUGGAGUAUGUGAGGAAGUAAGAAGAGAAAGGUGCAUAAUUUUAAUUUAUUUUUCUUAUUUGAUUUUACAAUGGUGCUAUGUCAUCAAUCAAGCCUAAAAAUAUAGAAAAAUCAGAGGUGAACAACUCCCCACGGAAUGAAGAAGCUGCCUAGACCGUUGCAUGGACCCUCGUGCAUGCCUUUGCUAUAAUUUAGGAGCAGACUGAGGUCCAUAAUCAAGUUAUCAAUAUAGGUGAAGAGGAGGAGAAAACUAGGAAAAUGAUAGAUAAACUCUUAGUUGGUGAUGUUGUACAAAAAGAGGAUGACACCAAUGUGAUACUUGAUAAGUAUAAUGGUGAAGAUGCCAAGACAGAUAAGGUCCCAGCUGAAAAAGCUUCUUAAAAUGCAGAUGUAACUAAUGAAGCUGAGGAGACAAUGGAGAAAAAAAUGGUGAAAUCCACGCUCGAGAUGCCAAGAAUGAUAAAUUCACCACUCAAGAUGAUGCUAAGGAUGAUGAACUCCCCACUCUAGAUUAUGUAAAAAAUAAAAAUCAGGUCUUCGAAGAUGCCAAGAAUGAUGUUUUUGUCCAUGAUACUGAUGAUAUUAAAAAAGUUGUUAAAGAUGAUAAUGCUGGUGUGAUGGAUAUUAUUGAGGAGAUCAACGGUGAAAAGAUAAUUCAAUUUUUAAUGGUUGGGAUGACAUGUUAGGUAAUUAAUUUUUUAUGAUUUUCAAUAUAAUUUUUCAGAGACAUUUAAUAUUUUACGCUUGAAAGUUUUAUGAAUAUGAUAAUUGUAAUUAAUGAAUAUUUGGAUAUGGA
rnacentral:lncRNA from 1 species